UAAAAUAAAUUAAUGAAACUUAAAAAAAAAGAAAAAAAUAAGGAAAAAACGAGUCAGGAAGAAAUAAAAAAUACAUUCCAUAGGAGUGUUUCUUCCUAUUAUUUAGAAAGACAGAGCUUCAUUGGGCAUGCCAAAAAUGUACUAUCAGAGAAAAGUUUUAGUCUUAGUUAGACAAAAACUAGGAUUGUUGAGCUUCCUUUCAGCAUAUCAGGUGAUUACCCAACUCUGGCUUAGACAAAGCAUUUCUCAGCUUUGGAUAUAUAACAACGGCUAUGACUUUAUAGGUAGUAGUAGAGUCCGUAGUUGCAACUGCUUAGAUACAUAAAUAAUGCCUACCACUAUUAGGACAACUUUUUCAUGAUUAUGUGGUUUCAGUUUUCAUAGUUUCAGUGAGCAUUUUUCCAGAGUCCAGGUCUAUACUACUAGUAUAAGGUACAUGUUCAAUGAUCUUUAAAACCAUAAUUUCUACCGAAUCCCCUAAUUGAGAAUCAUGUGGUUUAUCCUCAGUAUUAACAUUGAGCUUGGAACUGUUUCAUGUGUGUUUCAAAGAGUUGAACAGUCUGCCAGUAGGAUUCUGGGAAACACUACUUUUACAAGAAAGUGACUUACAAGCCUCAAGAAAGUGGUAAAGAAGGAAAAGCCAAGGAUAAUAUGUGACCAGCAGCGGCAACAUGCUCUUGUUUCAGUAAUACCCAGGCUGGUGAACAAGUACAGACUGGCUAGUGACUGGCCCACAUCAGUCAAGGACACUUUAAUCUUUCUAAAGGGAUGAAAAAUAAUUGGCGAUGCUUCUCUAAAUUAUUUUGAAAUAUUUCUGUAGAAAGAAACAGAGAAAUGCACAUGGGUGAGAGGAGGCAAAAACAAUUUUAACAGAAAAAAGUCAUUGGUCUGGCUCCACAAAUUUUCAAGUAUACUACAGAGGCAGACCUUGUAUUUGGUGACUGAGAGAUGCAUACAGAAUUAAGGGAUGGAGUAGGGGGCAUUGCAUGACCUUCCAGCACACAUAUAUACAAGUGUGCCACAUAUAUAGUGGCCUGUCACCUGGGCCAGGUCUCUUGUCCACCUACCUGAAAGAGAAAGAAGCACAGUGAAUGAAUAGAAAGAAGUAGUGAACUGGGUUCUAAUUCCAGUUUUCCUAGAUGAUGUGUUUUGGUUAGGUCACUUUGUCUGUCUUAAGUGAAAUAGGGAUGAUGAAAAGUACCAUAUUAAUUUCUCAUCAUGCUGUAGUUCCAAGUCUGUGAAGGUUACUCUAACCUCUAGGGGGUGACACUUUUAGAUUUCCAGAUUUGGGGAAAAGGUUUCACUGGUCAGUCCUGAAAGGGGCUAUCUUACAAAUCUCACCAUUUCUGCUGGAACAUUUGUCUCCUAAAGAUUCUUCCAGUGAAAUGGCAGCAAGUAGACAUGAGAUGAUUCUGUAUGGGUGAGAGAAUCUCUAGUAUACACCAGAACUUCCAGGGUGUCAUUUAGUAGAUAUGUAUUCUUAUUCUUAAUCCAACUUUGCAGCCCAAUGACUUUAUGAAGUCAAAAAUUCUCCCCCAAAUCCUUUUGGAGUAUGAUUUUUAAAGCAUAUAGAGACAGAAUCUGAGCCAAUAUAUUUUAUUUCAAAUAAGGUUCUUUGGUUUCUAAUAUGCUUUUGAAAUGUGACAUCUGUCCACGUUGUGAAAUUCUGCUCUCUCAGCUCCCUGGAGAGCUAGGAAGAGUAUUAAAUAAUUGGAUCCUUGUUGCUUUCUGAAUUCCACUACUUGUGGGCCAUUUCUGCUGGAUAAGCAUGUUGUUUAUCCAUAGCAUUCUCUUAAUUCUGCUCCUCAAACUCCUAUUUUCUGCUCUCAAAGCCAAACUCUGGGAUGGAGAACACUACUCCAUGGUUAUUUGUUAUUAAAGGACUUCUAUCACAGAAAAAGGGAAGCAAUGUUGAUAAGAUAAAGUACCUAAAAAGAAGAUAAGCUGAAAAGGCAAGGAGGGAUGUCAUGCAUUUCAGAGUUGCUCAUUUAUUCUGUUUUGCCACAUCACAAUCCUUACAAUGAAAGCACUCUUCCUUCUCCAUUGGAUUUUCAUCUGUAGAGUAUUUAAUCUUACAAAAUUAAAAAAAAUCAAUAACCAGGGAAUAUUCAGUAGUUUAGAGUUUUAAUAUUUAUCACAAAAGCAGAGCAAUCACUUGUGAAGGGGUGGGGAGAGACAGAAUUAUGGGCACUUCUUUAAAAAAAAAACCAAAUGUAAUCUUCCCCAAAGUUGUAUCGAUACUAAAACUCACCCAAUUUCACAUGAAUCCUCAAGAGUUGUAUCGAUACUGAAUUUCACUCCACUUCACUUGAAUUUUCAAAUUUGAAAUACCAGCUGAUUCGCACUACUUCCUUUCAAUUAACUUUUCUAGCCUACAAAUCCAUACAUGUUGGUGAAUACCUAAAAGCAAAUAUUAUCUAUACAGAGACAGGAAAUGAUGACAUUACUGGCAAAAGUGAUGUCAUAAACAGACAUCAAUUCCAAAGGAUACUGAGUUCUCAUGGUACUAGGGGAAAUAAAAUAAUGACUUCACAGCUGAAUAGAAUUUAAAUAAAACAUAUUUCAACAAAACUGCCAGAAAAAUGAAUCAUUCUACAUUAACAGGCUACAUUAGCAACUGGAUAUGUUAAAAGUUUAAUUUAGCAGAGGACUGCCUCUGACCAAAAAGAGUUUAAUUUAGAUUUUAUCUGUCUUUUUAACUUAAGUUUAUUCAUUUUUGGUAAUCUCUACACCCAAUGUGGGGCUCACCCGGAGAUCAAAAGUUGCAUGCUCUUCUGACUGAGCCAGCCAGAUGCCCCGUAGAUUUCAUCUGGUUUUGAUUUAUGUCAAUAAGUAUGGUUACUGGCUUAAAGGAAACCUGAAAUUUAUCUUUCUCUUUAUGGACAAUAUUAACAUAUUUCCUAGAGAAACUUCUGUAUUUUAUGGGUAACAAUACUUUUAUCUCCCAAAUUUAAAUCUUUUUUUUCUAUGAUAAUUUUAAGAAAGUAACUGACAGAAAGGUACAACACAAAGAAUUAUAGCUAGUAAUUGGCAUCCACUUAUAAUAUACUAGGCAAGGUGUAGAAGGUUUUAUGUACAUUAUUUUGAUUAAUACUUAUGAUACACAACGUUGACGUUAUAGAAAUGUGGACACAAUGAUCCCCAGGUAAACUAAAGACAAAAAGAAUGAGGCCUAAAGAGGGUAAGUGAUCUGCCAAGGGUCACAAAACAAAUAAGAGAGGAGGUGGAAUUCAAAUUUAAGUACCUCUCGUUCUUAAGUCUUUCUCCUUUAUUUACUCUUAUAAUUAAAGAGUAAAAGGUACAACAAGUGAGCAUAUUUGACUUAUUAGAACAUAAAUACUGUUUUUCAAUGUAAGUAUUAAGUUGGAAGUAUGUUACUUCAUACUGAAAAUAUUUAGCACAAAUUCAGUAGAAUUCGUACUCAACAGGCUUAAGAGUCCUUUAAAAUUCUCAUCUACAGCAGCAUUUCUCAACUUUUUUCAUCAUCUUCCCCCACCCCCCAAGGGGUCUUCUUGACACUUUUUUUCUUAAUCACGCUACCCACAAAAAUUUAAUACCACAGAUAUACCACAUACUAUAUGUAUAUCUGUGCAUACAGACUAUAUGUAGAUCUGUGCUUUAUACAUAAGAAGAGUUAAGAUUUUUUUUCCCCUAGAAUGCAUUUUUGCCCCUUGGAGGGUAAUGAGGAUGUAUAAUCUGAAAGAUGUAUCUGUUUUUCUUUGUUGCUCCAAAACCUUCCAACCCACUGGCUAUUACUUCAAAUUGCACGGAGUUAGGAUCUUAGACUUUUAGCUUAAAGUUUUUCUGUACGUUAAAAUAUGAAUACAUAGAAAAUAUUGGUGAAGCACCAAAACCCAUGUACAUUUUAGUGUGAAUAGAAGAUGGAAAAACCAGUUUGAUGGGGGAAAAUGAGAAGAAUGUGAGAGCACUCCCUACUGGAGCAGAGGAAGGAGAACAGAGAGGCUCUGGGUUGGAAUGCCUGUGGCACAAUUGUGCUUCAGUCUGGUCCCGUUGAACACAUUAACAUGAAGUAAGUACUUGAAAAUGCCAGCUCCCAUUCAUGAUGAACAAGAAAUCUUAGUCAUAAGCCACCUUAGUGACCAUCACCCUAUUGAUUAAUGUGUAAAUACUGGGUUUCCUGCCUGUGAAGAUUUGCUGUUUGGUUCCUUUCAGGUCUGUUUGUAUAUUCCCAAUUGCUAUGUGGCCAAGAACAAGUAAGUUUAUGUAAUGUUCCAAAGAAACAGCUCGACACCGUGGCUCAUUUUAACCCAGAUAGUGUGAGCCUUCACAAACUCUUCCUUGUAUCCUAUGCCUGCUGGAGUACUGGACAGACUCCACUCACUCACUGUGCACCUCGGUGGAAACUAACAAACAAUACAGUCACUGUCAGUAGAUGUUGCCUCCUCAGCGUACAGAGCCAAAAAAAAUUUUGGAAAAGUAGGUUACUUCACUGGGGUUGGAGAUGUAAAUUCUGAAUUGAU